rnacentral:rRNA from 1 species
AUUGAACGCUGGCGGCAGGCCUAACACAUGCAAGUCGAACGGUAACAGGAAGAAGCUUGCUUCUUUGCUGACGAGUGGCGGACGGGUGAGUAAUGUCUGGGAAACUGCCUGAUGGAGGGGGAUAACUACUGGAAACGGUAGCUAAUACCGCAUAACGUCGCAAGACCAAAGAGGGGGACCUUCGGGCCUCUUGCCAUCGGAUGUGCCCAGAUGGGAUUAGCUAGUAGGUGGGGUAACGGCUCACCUAGGCGACGAUCCCUAGCUGGUCUUAGAGGAUGACCAGCCACACUGGAACUGAGACACGGUCCAGACUCCUACGGGAGGCAGCAGUGGGGAAUAUUGCACAAUGGGCGCAAGCCUGAUGCAGCCAUGCCGCGUGUAUGAAGAAGGCCUUCGGGUUGUAAAGUACUUUCAGCGGGGAGGAAGGGAGUAAAGUUAAUACCUUUGCUCAUUGACGUUACCCGCAGAAGAAGCACCGGCUAACUCCGUG